rnacentral:rRNA from 1 species
CUGCCGGUCUUAAGCCGGAGGAAGGUGGGGAUGAUGUCAAAGUCAGCAUGGCCUUCAUAUCCUGGGCUACACACACGCUACAAUGGCCAACACAAUAGGUUGCUAAGCCGCGAGGUGGCGCCAAUCCAAGCCAAAACUUCCCUCAGUUCAGAUUGCAGGCUGCAACCCGCCUGCAUGAAGUUGGAGUUGCUAGUAAACGCAGGUCAGCCAUACUGCGUUGAAUACGUUCCCGGGCUU